rnacentral:lncRNA from 1 species
GGCUUGCCACAAACCGAUUUCAAGUCUUCUCCUUCAGACCCAGGGGCUGGAGAAGCUGUCCCUCCAAGGCUCCCUGGCACCUACUGGGGGGACAUGUACCUCUCUAAACGGGCCCUGAAGCCGAAAUGCUUUGUUAUGCUCAAAACAAUAAAUAAGGUUCCGAGUGAAGCCUUCAGAAUAAAAGGUAUGGAUAAAUGAUCCGCCUGCCUAUUGUGUUUAUCGUUAUUAUCGUCAGCCUUUAAAAGUAAUCUAUGUAUUUUCCUAUUUUCUCCAGAUUGGUUAGUGUAAUAUCCCUAGUGCAGCUAUCAACGUGGUCAUAAGAACUAUGAACUACAGCGUGGGCCUCGGGUCCGUUGGAGGCACCGCACCGCCUGGGACACUUUCGGGCUGCCCCUGCACCGGCAGCCCCCGCUGCUGUCCCCCCGCCCGCCGGCCCCGGGGGUCGCGGGGCGCUGUCCCGGCGGCGGGGAGCGCCGGUGUGCGGGCAGCGCCGGUGUGCGGGCAGCGCCGGCGGCGGGGCCGGGUCCGCAGCCCCCUCAGCCGCCCUCAGCCCCCGCCCGCCCGUCCGCCCGCGCGCGGGGAGGGGGCGUCGCGGGGCGCCCCCUGGCGGCCGGCCGGGGCCAGGCGGAGCGCGCCCAAAGUUGAUUUUGUUCAGCAAGCCGUAUCGUAUAAAAUUAACGACAGCCAAUAAAAUUAGCUUACAUGUUUCAACCGUAAAAGUCCAAAACAAAAUAAAGCUAGUUUUAGUGAAGCUAAGAAGCUCUGC